rnacentral:rRNA from 1 species
AGUUUAGUGUAAAAUAUACUAAAUGAAUUCUGCCCAGUGUAAUUUUUAUAAAUGGCCGCAGUACCCUGACUGUGCUAAGGUAGCAUAAUCAAUUGGCUUUUAAUUAAAGUCUGGAAUGAAAGAAAUAAUGAAGAAAUGCUGUCUUAAAAAUACUAACUUAAAUUUAUUUAAGAGGUGAAAAUACCUUUUUUUAAAAAAAAGACGAGAAGACCCUAAGAAUUUUUAUUAACUAUAAAUUUUAUAGUUAAUUUUUGUUGGGGCGACAAAUUAGAAUUUUAAACCUAAUUUUUUAAACAGGCGAAUUUUUUAAGUAAUAAAAAAUUACCUUAGGGAUAACAGCAUAAUGUUUUUUAAGUUUGUGACCUCGAUGUUGGACUAGGAACUUUAUGGCUAGCAGUCAAAAAAGAUUUAUUCUGUUCGAAUAAUUUUAUCCU